rnacentral:rRNA from 1 species
CUACGAGAUGCAGCAGUGGGGAAUAUUGCGCAAUGGGCGAAAGCCUGACGCAGCAACGCCGCGUGAGGGAUGAAGGCCUUCGGGUUGUAAACCUCUUUCAGCAGGGAAGAAGCGAAAGUGACGGUACCUGCAGAAGAAGCACCGGCUAACUACGUGCCAGCAGCCGCGGUAAUACGUAGGGUGCAAGCGUUGUCCGGAUUUAUUGGGCGUAAAGAGCUCGUAGGCGGUUAGUCACGUCGGAUGUGAAAAUCCAAGGCUUAACCUUGGACCUGCAUUCGAUACGGGCUGACUAGAGUGUUGUAGGGGAGACUGGAACUCCUGGUGUAGCGGUGAAAUGCGCAGAUAUCAGGAAGAACACCGAUGGCGAAGGCAGGUCUCUGGGCAACUACUGACGCUGAGGAGCGAAAGCGUGGGGAGCAAACAGGAUUAGAUACCCCUGUAGUC